AUGGUCGCCAAACAGCAGAUCCGUAUGUCUAAGGAGAACUACAACAAGAACAUCACCCAGCGCAGCAACAUCGCCAAGACCUCGAGAAAUGCUCCCAAAGAGGAGUCUGUAGGACCCUGGUUAUUGGCUUUCUUCAUUUUUGUUGUUUGUGGUUCUGCGAUUUUUCAGAUUAUUCAAAGUAUCAGGAUGGGCAUGUGAAGUGACUGACCUUAAGAUGUUUCCACUCUCCUGUGAAUUUUAA